AUUUAGUGAGUGCUGCAGAAACGAGAAUACAGAUGGCUACUGGUGCUAUUUGGGGCCGGGCUCUGAGAAUUAGAAACCUCUCCUACAUCCAUUAUCUUGGGUGACACUUCAAAUACUUCAGACACGAGCAUCAGAUUUCCUUUCACAAGUGUGGCACUAUGCCAUUUUAAUUAAUUUACUUUGGAGGGUGGGGUGACUGUCAUUAGGAAAAGGAGCACAGGAGCAGUUUAGGGAUUUUUCAGCUCUGAAAAAGCCAACUAACAAGCACUGGGGUAUUUUUUUGUCUUUUUGGUUUCAUAUCCUUCUAUAAAACUCAUUUAUAUACGUUUCUGAUUCGAUAGGCCAAAACAUGGACGUCUGCUCAGGCUUCAGACGGCCUUAAAUGCUCGUUUUUUUUCUCCUUCUUGCUCUGUAUGAUGUCACAGAGUGCAGAUGUGCUCGAUAUGGACAUCUCAGACUGUGCGUAUGCACCAUACUUUCUUAUAGUUUUUUAUUUUUAACUCAGUUUAAUUCAGGUUCAGUUUCCAGAGUGGGUUUGAUCAUUUCAGUGUAGCUCUCAUUGGUUGAAAAUGUUUCUUUUUCAUUUUGUUAGUUUUAGUCUUUAUUACUGAUUAUUUUAUUUAAGGCAAAUGCCAGAGACAAGAUUUGGGGAAAUCAGUAUUGAGAUUAGAAUAUAAACAGAACUUUUUGAAAGCAGUUGACUCAUAGGCUUAUAGACAUCCAAAGCCUCAAUCAAAACAUCUGUUAAACCCCUCAUCAGGCAGUUUGUGAUAACAGAUUUUACCAAGUUAAGUCAUACUAAGAAUUGUUCCUCUAUAUUUUUGAUUUUAACUUGUUUUUCAAAUAUCACAAAAUUGCAGCCGUAAAAGGCUGAUAGCAUAUUGUUGUAACCCUGGUGGGCAGGUGGGGGGGCGGUGUGGACACCCAAGUUUGUAAAUGCGAUAACAUGAAUACAGUGGUCCCUCGCUAUAACACGGUCCACCUUUUGCAGUCUCGCUGUUUCGUGGUUUUUUUGUUUUGUUUUUUACAGCGCAUUAUGUUCUGCGUUCUGAUUGGCUGUAGACCAUUGUCAAUCAAUCUCGUGUCGUGUCUCCUGUUCAGCUUGUCAAAUUUCCCUAUAUCUUCGAUCACUAACAGCGGGACUCUGAAGUGCUGUACUGUAUGUUUGUUUGUAAGUUUUCUCCAACUAACAGAAAAUGUCGAUGAAACGUUUUGCACCAUCAAAGUCAACUGCACGUGCCUUUGGUUUCAUUCUACAGGGUGGGAAAUUUAUACGGAUACACCGUAAUAACAUGGGAAUGGUUGGUGAUAUUAAAGUCCUGUUUGUGGCAAAUUAGUAUAUGUGAGGGGGCAAACUCCUCAAGAUGGGUGGUGACCAUGGUGGCCAUUUACAAGUCGGCCAUCUUGGAUACAACUUUUGUUUUUCCAAUAGGAAGAGGGCCAUGUGACAGAUCAAACUUAUUG
ensembl:lncRNA